UGAGCAAUCUGCCCUUCACAUCGGAAUAACCAUUGGAAACGAUGGCUAAUACCGAAUAUGACUUCGGAUCGCAUGAUCUGAAGUGGAAAGCUCCGGCGGUGAAGGAUGAGCUCGCGGCCUAUCAGCUUGUUGGUGCGGGUAAUGGCCCACCAAGGCGACGACGGGUAGCCGGCCUGAGGAGGGUGACCCGGCCACACGUGGGACUGAGACGACCGGCCCAGCUCCGUACGGGG
rnacentral:rRNA from 1 species